rnacentral:rRNA from 1 species
CAGCAGCCGCGGGAACACGAAGGGUGCAAGCGUUACUCGGAAUUACUGGGCGUAAAGCGUGCGUAGGUGGUGGUUUAAGUCCGUUGUGAAAGCCCUGGGCUCAACCUGGGAAUUGCAGUGGAUACUGGGUCACUAGAGUGUGGUAGAGGAUAGUGGAAUUUCCGGUGUAGCAGUGAAAUGCGUAGAGAUCGGAAGGAACAUCUGUGGCGAAGGCGACUAUCUGGGCCAACACUGACACUGAGGCACGAAAGCGUGGGGAGCAAACAGGAUUAGAUACCCCGGUAGUCCCUGUCUCUUAUAA